CAAAGACCAUGAGGACGUGUGGAGAAUGGUACCUAGAUGUCCAGAGAGAGAGCUGAAGAUGUUAAUGACCAACAUAUUCUUACCCACUGUUUUAGUUUCUCAUUGUUCCAGUUGUUUUAUUUCAUUUUGAAAUUUUGCUGGGAUUUAAAAUGAUGCCACACAACAGGUAUGAGAGAAGUAUUCCUUCUGACUCCUAAGACAAUACACAUGGAAAAAAAAUUCCUUUAAGUGGUCCAGUCAUCACAUUCACAAACCAUGAAUGAAAGAGAAGAAAAGGAGAAAGACUUCCACUUCCCAGAAGUUGUACACACCAAUUCUGGCCACAAUUUACUCAUGUGACUUCACCUAGCUACAUAUGGCAUCCUUAUUCUGGAUUCCAGAAUUCUACUGAUAAAGAGAAAUGGAAGAAUGAAU